AGGGUGUAAACGCUGCAGACUUGGUGUUGGAGGCCCUUUGGGGGCAUUCAGUGCCGGAGAGAAGUUGUUAAGUCUGCUACUUGGGAGUACGUCCGCAAGGAUGAAACUUAAAGGAAUUGGCGGGGGAGCACCGCAACGGGAGGAGCGUGCGGUUUAAUUGGAUUCAACACCGUAAAACUCACCAGGGAAGACUGUUACAUGAAGGCCGAGAUGAAGACUCUGCUAGAUUUUCAGAGAGGAGGUGCAUGGCGUCAGUG
rnacentral:rRNA from 1 species